rnacentral:lncRNA from 1 species
AUGGCUUUGUUCCUCCAUCCCACAGAUUUGAUUCCUGGAAACUCCUCAGUGUCUAUGGGACACAACUCCCCAGUGACUUUCUUUGUCCAUCCUCCUGGUCAUUGGAAGCUCCUUGGUGGCAUCGACACCUUCCCUUGGAGUCAGUGGGACAUGUUUCCCCAAUGGCUUUGUUCCUCCAUCUCAUGGCUUUGCUUCGCAGGCAGCGUGGAGCAGAGCUUUGCCAUCAGCUCAGUACCACUCAACCUCGACUGGGAUGGGCAUACGCCCCACAUCCAAGGCUCUUCCUCCCAUCCUAGGUAGGGUCAGAGAUGUUUCACCCCUUUUCCUCCUUCCUUUUUGCUCACCCCAAGUUCUACUAGCACUUUCGCAGGGGUGUUCGCAGCAUGAGAAAUGGCCAUUAUUUUACUGACUGUAUUUGGUACCUAUCGUGUGAUACUUGAAGAGAUCGGGGCGUUUUGCCCUCCAUCAGAGUCUAAACUCUCUUUUAUUUUCUUUUUUUUUUUCCCCCCUUUUUUUCUUGCGUUGUGAUGUAGUGGGCACAUCUGCCCCCGCUGACAAAAUGCCUCUUCUCUAAGAGUAUAACCUCUCCGGUAGUUGUGUAUAAUGACAGAACUGUAAACUUUUUUUAAAAUAAAAAAUAUGUAUAUACCUCAGAGGCUGCCUGGUGCUUGAGCUUCAUGCAGGAAGGGGUCCUCUACCCCACGUCAUUGGCUCUGUGGGAUUUAUGGCACCCGUGGGGCAUUUUUUGGGUUGGGGAUGAGCUCUUGGCUGAUGGAAAAUAAAUCAUCGUGGCUGAUGACUGAAAAUGGGGCUGCAUGGGUUUGGAUGCUGGGCACACACCUGUUUUUCUGUGGAAUCAUUAGGUUUGGAAAAGACCUCUGUGGUGGCCACCCAGUCCAGCCAUCAACCCAUCACCACCAUGCCCACUCAUGGAAUCACUGAGGCUGGAAAAGAUUGCUGAGAUCAUGGAGUCCAACCAUCAACCCAACACCAAAAACCUCUGGGAUCAAUCCUCUAGUCCAAUCUUCAACCCAUCACCAACCCCUAUGCCCACUACACCACGUCCCUAAAUCCCAUGUGUGAUGUUUGGCUUGAUGUUGGAUGGAAAUUGGGACAUAGGAUGAUGCAUGUAGGGAUGUGAGUUCCCCAACCAUUGGUGUUUUGUGGGGCAGGACAAGGGGAAAGGGGAUGCAAGCCCAUUACUGGGCCAUGGUCUCAUAUGUGGCUUGUCCCCCUUGCCCCCCAUCC